GAGUUUGAUCUUGGCUCAGGACGAACGCUGGCGGCGUGCUUAACACAUGCAAGUCGAACGGUGAACCCUUCGGGGGAUCAGUGGCGAACGGGUGAGUAACACGUGAGCAACCUGCCCUUGACUCUGGGAUAACCCCGGGAAACCGGAGCUAAUACCGGAUAUGACGCACGGAGGCAUCUCCUGUGUGUGGAAAGAUUUAUUGGUCAAGGAUGGGCUCGCGGCCUAUCAGCUUGUUGGUGGGGUAAUGGCCUACCAAGGCGACGACGGGUAGCCGGCCUGAGAGGGCGACCGGCCACACUGGGACUGAGACACGGCCCAGACUCCUACGGGAGGCAGCAGUGGGGAAUAUUGCGCAAUGGGCGAAAGCCUGACGCAGCGACGCCGCGUGAGGGAUGAAGGCCUUCGGUUGUAACCGUACUUCUAGCAGGAAGAAGACGAAAGUAGACGGUAACCGUGCGAGAAGAAGACACCGGCUAACUACGUAGCCAGCAGCCGCCGU
rnacentral:rRNA from 1 species